GAGGCUGGGGAAGCUGGUCUGGGGAAGUCCGGAGGGCUUAAAGGAGCCAGGGGUGGAGCAGCCCCGAGGAUUCGGGACUGGGGGAGGCCAUCAGUGGUUCGCACUGAGCUCCAGAGUUGCUCUGGGGUAGCUGGAUAAAAUGUGGGCUUUUUUUGUGGUUUUUUUUGUUUGGUUUGGUGAUUUUAUUUUUUUUUCCUUAUUUGCCUUUCUCACGGGUUAUGGCUAUGGUAGGUGAUAGCAGAAGAAACACCUUCCAGGAGAGACGUGGGCUGAAAAUGAAUGGUUUGCAUUAGAUUUGUUAUGCUGGGUAAGUAUAGGUUGAAGUAAAGAUGCUUUAGAGCAUUCACUGGUUAUUCAAUGCUUAAUAAUAAAGAUAAUAAAUAAAAAUUUUCACAAGAGCAAUCCUGGAAGAAGCAUGAGAGGUAUCACAAAAUACAGCUCCUGGCUGAUGAAGCACCCUGUAACUGUGCAGGAAAGAGAGCAUGGUGUGACUGUACAAAAGCCCUUUAUUCCACCUAUUGGAAGGAGUAGCUCAGACAUAUCCUUGGAGUACUGUCAGGUGAAAGAGUAACAGCAUUGAUCCAUCCUCCUCCACCGCUUUCUUUUUUUCCUACUAGAUUCUCCUGAGGUGGCCCAAUUUCUGUCUUCUACUGCUAUUAUUAACUUGAGAAGUCUCCUUCUCUUCCCUAAUUUGUGGCUCAUGCUGGUGAAAUGAGCAGAAUCAGCUGUAGAUAAAUAACUCCUGUGACUUCUGUUUUCUGUCAGAGUGGGGUUAACAGCCCUCAGUUACUGACAGCAUCAGCACCUUGAUGGUUGUCAUAGGUUUACUUGUUCUAAAAAAACAGGCAGGAAAUUUUUCUUUCCCAUGCACUGCUGUAAGGGGGGGGAUGUUGAAAGUGGGAGGGUAGUUUUCGCCUUGGGUGAUUGACCCCACACAAAUCACAUUCCAAGCUGAUGGCCCUCCGAAGACUGGGGAGGGGUGAUGAGGUUUUUUUCCCUCUCCUCGGAAAUGGCAGGCACUUCACUUUUGCUCUGACUGUAGGGAGGGUUUGUGUUGGAGGGGUCCGAGGUUCACUUUGGUUUUGGCCUGGUCAUCUGGCUUGUUUUCUGGCCCCGGUGUCCCUCCGUUUUCCUGCGCCAUGUUCUGUCCCAGCUCAGAUCUGCUCGGAUUUCAUCGGAGAGGCUUGACCCACCUGCAGAGGAACCUUUUUGGGAGGAGGUUGCCCUUUCCCUCCUCCGUUUCCGUGUUGGCAGCGGCGUGUGUCCAUCGACGAAAAGGGGGAAAUCCUGGCCACAGCCAGCCGCAAACAGCGAGCCUUUAGGAGUUGGAGAGGAUAGGCCGUGACAUCACAAAGAAGCCCAUGGCACACGGGUGAGGCUGCAUUUUGACAAUGUGGGGCGCUGUUUUUUGGGUUGCCAGGGGCUAUUCUGGAAUGGAGAGGAUAGGCCGUGACAUCACAAAGAAGCCCAUGGCACACAGACUGGCAGGAAAAUGCUCACCUUGCUCAUCUGCCCUCCGGUGCUAAUAGCCCGCCCCACCACUUCCAUCCCACCUCAAAGAGAGAACAAAAAGACGCUCACAAGAAUGACCUUUGAAGAGCAGUGCCUGUCAGAACUGCAAGGAGGGAUGCAGAACAAUCUUAUGUGGGUGAUAUUCUCCACUCUGACCUGCAAAACCUAGUGCUGGGGUCGAAACUAAGACUCUCUGCUUCCCUCUCCUAAGGGAUUUGGUUUUAGACAUCUCUUUCCCUUAUGCUCAUUUCAAAAGCCCUCCUGGCAAUUCCCAAGCCUGUACCUGGCUCUCAUCCCCUCUCUGGCUCAGAGCCCUCGACUUAUCUUUCAGAGAGCUGGGACUGUCAAGUCAUCUUCCAAAAGCAUGGCCCUUCGGCUGGCUCAGAGAUUCCUCCAGUCGCACCAGGCCCUGCCCAAGGCCCUCCUAUCAGGGUCUGGGCCCUGGAGGCAGGGGGAGAACCCCCCCGUGGCUUGGCCAUUCUUCCCCAGCCCUUGUCUGGCCCAGCAUCCUCCCCCCGGCACACUCCCCACUGCCACAGGCUGCACUGGGGCGGCAUUUCCUUCUUGGGCCCUUUCGAGCUGCCCCCAUGGGGACACUUCCAUUUUCUGGGCCAAGCACCAGAGCCAAUCCCAGCCAGUCCCAUCGUCCCCUGUCCGACUCCCUGACUCCUAGUGGCCCCUGGAAGCCAAGAGCCAAAGGCCGACACCCACAGAGUGCAGCCCCACCCAUCUGCACUGGGGCCCCAGGGGUUCCCUUUACCAAACAGCCCCUGCGAACCCUUGUCAGAGAGAAAAUUGGGUGACUCCUGGAUGCUUUUAGUAAAGAGGUCUAAACAUUUCUUGAA